rnacentral:SRP_RNA from 1 species
GACUGGGUUCCUGGCGGCGGUGGCCGUCGAACCGUGUCAGGUCCGGAAGGAAGCAGCACUAAGGCGUACCCACCGGGCGCCCAGGAUAACCUGGUGACC